AUUGAACGCUGGCGGCAUGCUUUACACAUGCAAGUCGAACGGCAGCACAGGGAGCUUGCUCCCGGGUGGCGAGUGGCGCACGGGUGAGUAAUACAUCGGAACGUGUCCUAUAGUGGGGGAUAACUAGUCGAAAGACUAGCUAAUACCGCAUGAGACCUGAGGGUGAAAGCAGGGGAUCGCAAGACCUUGCGCUAUUGGAGUGGCCGAUGCCCGAUUAGCUAGUUGGUGAGGUAAAGGCUCACCAAGGCGACGAUCGGUAGCUGGUCUGAGAGGACGACCAGCCACACUGGGACUGAGACACGGCCCAGACUCCCACGGGAGGCAGCAGUGGGGAAUUUUUGGGACAAUGGGGGCAACCCUGAUCCAGCCAUGCCGCGUGCAGGGAUGAAGGGUCUUCGGGAUUGUAAACUGCUUUUUGUCAGGGACGAAAAGGGACUGUGCUAAUACCACGGUCUGCUGACGGUACCUGAAAGAAUAAA
rnacentral:rRNA from 1 species